GACGAACGCUGGCGGCGUGCUUAAUACAUGCAAGUCGAACGGUGAAGCGCCUUCCUUUUUGGUGGGUGUGGAUGAGCGGCGAACGGGGGAGUAACACGAGAGUAACCUGCCCACUUCUUCUGGACAACCGCAUGAAAGUGUGGCUAAUACGGGAUAUUCUGGGUCUGUCGCAUGAUUGGUCUGGGAAAGAUUUUGUUUCGGUGGGGGAUGGGGUCGCGGCCUAUCAGCUUGUUGGUGUGGUGAUGGCCUACCAAGGCGGUGACGAGUAGCCGGCCUGAGAGGAUGGACGGUAACAGAGGGGCUACGCGGCGCAGACGCCUACUAGAGGCGGCAGCAGUGGGUAAUAUGGCAUGGUGGGAAGCAUGCUGAAGCAGCGCCGCGUGGUGAGGGAUGGUGGCCUUCGGGUAGUGAUCCUCUUUCGGGAGUGAAGCAGGGCUGCCUCGUUUGUGGGUGGGUUGACGGUAGCUGGAUAAGAAGCGCCGGCUAACUACGUG
rnacentral:rRNA from 1 species